rnacentral:rRNA from 1 species
UACGUAGGGCGCAAGCGUUGUCCGGAAUUUUUGGGCGUAAAGAGCUUUUAGGUGGUUUGUCGCGUCUGCUGUGAAAAUCCGAGGCUCAACCUCGGACUUGCAGUGGGUACGGGCAGACUAGAGUGUGGUAGGGGAGACUGGAAUUCCUGGUGUAGCGGUGGAAUGCGCAGAUAUCAGGAGGAACACCGAUGGCGAAGGCAGGUCUCUGGGCCAUUACUGACACUGAGAAGCGAAAGCAUGGGGAGCGAACAGG